CUACGGGCCGCUGCAGUGGGGAAUAUUGCACAAUGGAGGAAACUCUGAUGCAGCAACGCCGCGUGGAGGAUGACACUUUUCGGAGCGUAAACUCCUUUUAUAUAGGAAGAUAAUGACGGUACUAUAUGAAUAAGCACCGGCUAACUCCGUGCCAGCAGCCGUGGUAAUACGGAGGGUGCAAGCGUUACUCGGAAUCACUGGGCGUAAAGAGCGUGUAGGCGGAUAGAUAAGUCAGGAGUGAAAUCCUAUGGCUCAACCAUAGAACUGCUCUUGAAACUGUCUAUCUAGAAUAUGGGAGAGGUAGAUGGAAUUUCUGGUGUAGGGGUAAAAUCCGUAGAGAUCAGAAGGAAUACCGAUUGCGAAGGCGAUCUACUGGAACAUUAUUGACGCUGAGACGCGAAAGCGUGGGGAGCAAACAGGAUUAGAUACCCGCGUAGUC
rnacentral:rRNA from 1 species